UAAAUAGCUAGGCUUAGCAUUGCUAGGUCGACAGCUUCUUAGAGGGACUAUCGGUGUUUAACCGAUGGAAGUUUGAGGCAAUAACAGGUCUGUGAUGCCCUUAGAUGUUCUGGGC
rnacentral:rRNA from 1 species